rnacentral:rRNA from 1 species
UACGUAGGGUGCGAGCGUUGUCCGGAAUUAUUGGGCGUAAAGAGCUUGUAGGCGGUCUGUCGCGUCUGCUGUGAAAAUCCGGGGCUCAACCCCGGACUUGCAGUGGGUACGGGCAGACUAGAGUGUGGUAGGGGAGACUGGAAUUCCUGGUGUAGCGGUGGAAUGCGCAGAUAUCAGGAGGAACACCGGUGGCGAAGGCGGGAUCCUGGGCCAGUACUGACGCUGAGGAGCGAAAGCGUGGGGAGCAAACAGG